GCUGUAGCUCAAUGGUAGAGCCCAUGCUUUGCAUGCAGAAUGUCCCAGGUUCGAUCCCCAGUGUCUCCA